CCUACGGGAGACAGCAGUGGGGAAUAUUGGGCAAUGGCCGAAAGCCUGACCCAGCAACGCCGCGUGAAGGAAGAAGGCUUUCGGGUUGUACACUUCUUUUGACAGGGAAGAGCAGAAGACGGUACCUGUCGAAUAAGCCACGGCUAACUACGUGCCAGCAGCUGCGGUCAUACGUAGGUGGCCAGCGUUGUCCGGAUUUACUGGGUGUAAAGGGCGUGUAGCCGGGCUGACAAGUCAGAUGUGAAAUCCGGGGGCUCAACCCCCGAACUGCAUUUGAAACUGUUGGUCUUGAGUAUCGGAGAGGCAGGCGGAAUUCCUAGUGUAGCGGUGAAAUGCGUAGAUAUUAGGAAGAACACCAGUGGCGAAGGCGGCCUGCUGGACGACAACUGACGGUGAGGCGCGAAAGCGUGGGGAGCGAACAGGAUUAGAUACCCGGGUAGUC
rnacentral:rRNA from 1 species